GCCGUUGUCAACCCACACCCACUCGAAGAUUCAAAUAAAUCAUCAGAAAUUCGAAACCCUAGAUUUCUAAUUCCUCUCGAUUUCCACGAAUUCAAUGGAAAAUUCGACCCAGGAAUCUCACCCCCGCCCUGAAAAUGUCGUCACCUACGAAUCCCCCUUUCCAAUCUACGCCAUGGCCAUCUCCGCCGUGAACCGCCGCCGCGUCGCCGUCGGCAGCUUCAUCGAGGAGCUGAAGAACCGCGUCGACAUCCUCUCAUUCUCGGAAGAUUCGUCCUCUCUCAAGCCUGUCCCUUCUCUCUCCUUCGACCACCCUUACCCCCCCACGAAAUUACUCUUCCACCCCUCCGUCUCCGCCCCUUCCAACCUCCUCGCCUCCUCCGGCGACUUCCUCCGUCUCUGGGAGGUCAAGGACUCCUCAAUCGCGGCCGUCUCCACGCUCAACAACAGCAAAACCAGCGAGUACUCGGCUCCGCUGACCUCAUUCGACUGGAACGAGGUCGAGCCGCGGAGGAUCGGAACGUCGAGCAUCGACACGACCUGCACGAUUUGGGAUAUCGAGAAGGGCGUGGUGGAGACGCAGCUGAUCGCGCACGACAAGGAGGUUUACGACAUAGCUUGGGGCGAGGCUGGGGUUUUCGCGUCGGUUUCAGCGGACGGCUCCGUGAGAAUCUUCGAUUUGAGGGAUAAGGAGCAUUCGACGAUCAUCUACGAAAGCCCCAUGCCGGAUACGCCGUUGCUGAGAUUGGCUUGGAAUAAGCAGGAUUUGAGGUAUAUGGCGACGAUCUUGAUGGAUAGCAAUAAAAUUGUGAUAUUGGAUAUCAGGUCUCCGACAAUGCCGGUGGCGGAGCUGGAGAGGCAUAGUGCUAGUGUGAAUGCAAUUGCGUGGGCGCCGCAGAGUGCUAGGCAUAUUUGCUCUGCUGGGGACGAUGCCCAGGCUUUGCUUUGGGAGCUGCCCACGGUAGCUGGCCCCAAUGGGAUUGAUCCCAUGUCCAUGUACUCUGCCGGUGCAGAGAUUAACCAGCUGCAGUGGUCAGCCGCCCAGCCGGAUUGGAUUGCCGUUGCGUUUGCCAACAAGAUGCAAAUGCUCAAAGUUUGAGGUAUUGUUCUUUGCAAUCCGGGCUAAUAUGAUUGUUGGAACGAUUGUCUUAUGAUGAAUGAGGGAUCUCAGAAAUUGGAUUAAUACUACUAUGUUUCUUGAUUUUGUGAAGGACGAUGGAAUCGUACUGGCCUAGCCUCUUCGCCAAGCUUUGCGAGAAGAGGAACGUUGAUGAUCUCGUUAUGAACGUCUGCUCUGGUGGUGGUGCCACCAUCACUGUCACUGCUCCUACCGGUUGAGGAGAAGAAGGAAGAAGUCAAAGAGGAGAGCGAUGAUGACAUGGGACUAGGACUGUUUGAUUAGGACUUUACUGUGUUUAGUUAGUAUUAAUAUUUGGGCCACAGACUAAUUUGAGCUACAAAUAUAUCAAUAUAGAUGGGUUUUUUGGUUAUAUAGUUGUAUGCCCUUGUUUUUACAGAGCAGUAGUUAAAUUUACUAUUGAUUUUGAGUUAA